ensembl:lncRNA
UCAGUUGUGUUAUCAGUAGACUUUCAGGACUUGGACGGCAAUCCUACAUCUCUCGUUAACCUUCAAACCGACCUCAUGGACUCCGACAGCAAUGGGGAAAACUACAUGCUUGCUUCAGUCCCUUUAAGACAUAUGGUUGAAUCCUGGGGGAAGCCGGACACUGGAGUAACAUUUAAAACCGAAAAUGCCGAAGGUAAGCAUGAAGAAAGAGGCAGCCUAGUACGUGGGGGUUACACAAGGUGUUGCAGUGAUUUUUGCAUCAAACUGCUUCCCUCUGUCGCGGUGGUGUGGUAGACUGUGUAUUGUCAUCUUAAUGAAAUGCUUUCCCGAGUCCUGCUCUAAGUUAUGCUUUUGCAGCACAGUCCAUAUGUUCAUGGCCAAUCAUGUAACAUUUUACUGGGUAGAACUUGCGAAUGUUGGGUUCCUACCAUUUCUCCCUCUGAAGAUUUCAAACUCUUAACUUUGACAGCAUCUUCGUGGUUGUUGUGAUUGUUGUCAUUCAUCUUGCAAAAUGGUUGGAGUGCUAUUCGGGGUGAUAGGCAGUUAAUGUCAGGUUGUAAAUUAUGGUGAGACUUUUUUUUAUUGGAUUAUUUGUGCUGUAUUUUCAUGUGGUGUCUUCCCUCAUGUUUCUGAUGUUGGAAACCCUUAAAUCCCUCACCAGUGGAGAGCUUCACUCCAGCUGCCCCCAGCAGACCUGCUACUGAUGAGGAGCAUGUUCCUUACUUAACGGUACCUUCAUGCUUUUUCUAAAUGUUUUGCUGGACUAACUAACAGAGAGGGGGCGAUUACAUCUCAAUCUGAAGGCCUGUGUAAUUUUUGCAAGCUUACAGUAGAGUGGUUCAGUGUCCACAUGCAGACAGAAAUGUCUUGUCAGAUGCCAGGUUGGCCUCAGCGUACCCGUCAGUCUUAUUGAUUAUGGAAGUAACGAGUAGAGAUGGUUGGGACCUUAGCUUUGAAAGCUGUCAGUGUGCUAACCAUCCCAGUGUGCUCCAGGAGUCCCAGAUGAUGGACCGCAUUCGCCAACAACGCUUCACACAAGACGAGUUGGAUGUCCUGGUGCGGGAGAUCCAGGCCCGCUACCACAGAAUCUACGGCAAAGGGCUGCCGUUCGCCGAGAUCCGACAGGCGUGGGAGGAGGUGGCGGCAGCGGUCAACAACGCUGGCUUUGGCCCCACCAGGACCGCCAGCGGCUGCCAGAGACGCUUCAGAGACCUAAAGCGGCGUGCCAAGAUGAAGCUGGUCAACAGAGCUAGCACAAAGCCAUCACAAAGAGCAGAGAAUGGACCUGCAGGAAAGGACACUCAGUCAUGCAGCGAAACAGCUACACCUGCAACCUCACCUUCUGAGAGACCUGUAGCUGGAACAGCGGAUGGUGGAAACGGUGGAGCAUCUCUCCACCCCUUUGCUCUCUUUAACACCAUGGAUGUUCCCAGUCAAGACCCCUUGGGUACCGUGGGUGGGCCCAGUCAAGACCCCUCGAGUACCGUGGGUGUCCCCAGCCAGUCUCGGGAGCCCCUGGAGGUCCGCCAGAGGAGCCUGGAGAUGCUGCAGAGGGAGUUUAAACCCCAGAGCCGAAACCACUUCACGAAGGAGCAGAUGGACAUCCUCCUGCGCGAGAUCAAGGCCCGCUACCACAGGCUUUUCGGUGACAGACAGCACCCUCCGCGGUUCUCGGAUCGGCGGCAGGCGUGGGAAGAGGUGGCAGCCGCCAUCAACCGUGCUCGCUGCGGCCCCACCAAGUCUGCCAGCGCCUGCUGCAAACGCCUCAGCGACCUGAAACGGCGGCGCAAGAUGAGAAUGGGCAAACACAUCGUGUCUAUGUGUCAGGAGGGGCCUAUUAUUACAGCCGCAUUCUCCCACGCGAGCCCCAUGGGAAUGAACAUCCUCCCAUCAGUGAGUAUGCAGCUACUGCAAAGCCCAGAGAACGCACCCACAGACGCAGCUGAACCCGAACCAGCCACCACACCAACACCUGCACCAGCUCCGCCGCCCACACAAAAACCUGCACCGUUUCCUGCAUUAGCAAAUGAAACAGCACCCACACCAACACCUGCACCAGCAACUGCACCCGCACCAACACUCACAACAACACCCGCACCCACUCGAGCACCAAUACUGACACCCAUACCAACACUCACACAUAUACCAACACUCGAACCCAUACUAACACUUGCUCUUGCACCGGCACCAACAUUCGCACCAACACUUACACUCCCACUCACACUCCCAUCAACAGUCACACAAACUGCACCAGAUCCUACCCCAGCCACCACACCCACCCUUGCACCCUCGCCAGCUGCUCCAGUACUCACACCUGUACCAACACUCACACCUGUACCAACACUAGAACCAACACUUACACGCACACCAACACCAUCUGAGAGUCCUGUAGCUGGAGCAAACAGCGGGACCGCCGGAGUUUCAGUCAGUCCCCCAGCAGCCUCGAGCACCACGGGUGCUCCGUGUCCGUCGCGGAGGCGGUGGGAGCAGGAGCUGCUGGAGGUGCAGCGCGAGGGUCUGGAGGUGCUGCAGAGGGAGGUGGGAGCUCUGCGCCGUGGCCUGGACACGCGCCUCCGCAGGAUGGAGAGCCGCACGUACCCCCUCCUGCUCUCCAUCAGCCGCAGCCUGGAGAGGAUAGCCAACGCCACGGAGCGCAACUCCACCCCUGAUGCCACCACUCCACUGCACACCGACACGCCCCCCAGGACACCAAGGGGCAGAGCUGUGGUGGAACGACCGGCCACCAGCCAAACCCGUGCUUCUUCAAAGGGGCGAGCAGCCGGGACCUGCAAACGCAAAAGAGGGAGACGCGCCUAACAAUACGACCCACCGAGACAUAAAACUUGAAACACCUUUGGCUUUCAUGACAAUUGCCACAUGACAGCAGCUCAAUAAGGCUCCUGUACUGCUCCACCGAGAAAGCUGACCUAAUGUACUUCUGUGAUAUCGUAAUUAGGCUAGCUUAUCGAGUUUUCCUCCAUUAACUUCAAAACAUUUCUGAACUAUUCACAUUGCAAAAUAACUGCAUAUUUAAAAAUAAAAAAAAAUGUAAUUGAUCCCUUUUGGGGUCC